GUCAAGUCUCUAUUUCCUUCAUAUGUCUAAUUUACCUUCAAUUGUUCAGCUUUGAAAAGUAAUUUGAGCAAUGUUAUGACCACACCCACCCACACACACACAUAUAUAUGUAUGUAUAGCUAGUACAAAAUAUACAGAAGAAGAAGUAGCAGAUUUGGGAAAAUAUUGCCGCACAAGGAAGAGGCUAACCACACAAGGAGCUGCAAUUUGCGAAAAUCAAGGCAGCCACGCAAGAAGCUAUGGAUCAGGGAAACCACAUUAUAAACAAAAAUAAGUUUUAAAAAAAAUUAUAAAACUAAAAAAAUAAAAUUUUGGGGUAAAAACCAAACCCUAACCUUACAAUAUGAGGAAAUCAGAAAGAAAGGGAAGAUGGAUGAGAGAUUGAAGUAAGAGAAGGAGAAGAGAGGUAGAAGAGAAGAAGUAUACAAAGAAGAAGAGGGAGUUGUCCGUUGACAGCAACAAUUGUGCGCUCGCUGUGCAGCCACACCCCUCACCUCCACUCCCAACUAAUUAAGCUCGCCCAUGUGUCGUCGCUCUGAGCAGCCGCCUACGCCGCCGUGUUGCAGCUGCCAAAAUGGGGAAAGUCGAAAAUGGGGUGGGGGGAAACGGGAGGAGGAACCUCUAGGUGUCUAGAUGGCGCAACAAAGAAAUGGGGGAGAUGAAGAUGUCGCAUAAAAGAAAUGGGGGAGGAAAUAUGAAAGGGAAAAAGAAAUUAGCGAAUGAUUUUUUUUAAG
rnacentral:lncRNA from 1 species